AAUAAAAAGGAACAAAAUAAACCAAAAUCAAACAAAAAGAAAAGAACAAAAACCCACAUGCAAUAUGUACACAGUUAAUACCAAUAUUUACAAACCAAUGUCUGGGUGUUCAAACACUUAGCCGUGGUGAUCCAAACCAGCUCUGUCCGUCCAGAACAGUCCCAUACAUCCAGACACUGUUUGUACCAGUAUCCAGAACAAUCUAUACCAGUAUCCAGAACAGCAGGAGUGGGAGGAGAAACGCGCAGGGGAGUGUUGGCCCCUUAGAUAGCUGUGGCACCCGGCAGCCUAGCCUCCGCAGCAGCAUGCACA